rnacentral:rRNA from 1 species
UUUGUACACACCGCCCGUCGCUACUACCGAUGUUUGGUCCGGUGAAAUCUUAGGAUUCGUAACUUUCACUUGCUUUACUUUCGGGUAGAGCGAGUUUGUUGUGAAGAAUUUGAGUGAACCUUGCCAAGUAGAGGAAGUAAAAGUCGUAACAAGGUAUUCGUAGGUGAACCUGUGGAUGGAUCAU